UACGUAGGCAGCAAGCGUUGUUCGGAGUUACUGGGCGUAAAGGGUGUGUAGGCGGUUGGAUAAGUGUGGUGUGAAAUCUCCCGGCUUAACUGGGAGGGUGCGCUACAAACUGUCUGACUAGAGUGUGGUAGGGGAGAGUGGAAUUCCCGGUGUAGCGGUGAAAUGCGCAGAUAUCAGGAGGAACACCGGUGGCGAAGGCGGGUCUCUGGGCAGUAACUGACGCUGAGGAGCGAAAGCGUGGGGAGCGAACAGG
rnacentral:rRNA from 1 species